UUCUCUCUGCUUUUGCUUAAGCCUUAAAAAAAAUUUUCAGGGGGUCAGCCCUGUGGCCGAGUGGUUAAGUUCGCGUGCUCCACUUUGGCAACCCAGAGUUUGCCGGUUUAGAUCCCAGGUGCUGAACUACACAACACUCAUCAAGCCAAGGUCCUAAAAAAGUGAAGAGCCUGAUAGAAGGGAGCUACUAAAGGUGAAGAAUCAAACAAGGAAAGCCAACUAUGGAAGUCAAAGAUAAGAUCACAAACAAUGAAUUGGUAAUAUGGUCUGAAGUGGACCCUAGAUGACUGAAUCAUAAAAGGAAUCUUGGUAUGGUGUGCAAGAUUAUGGAACAUUAUGAGCCUGAAAAAGGAGACUUUAAAGAGGGGCGUAUUGAUGCUCAUCAGAAAAACCCUCUUCUGAAUUCUGAAGUGGACUAGAAUCAACAAGUGGAUACUCUAAUCUACUUCCCGGAAGAGUCUUCUUGGGUGCCUGAGAUGCGUGGUCAUGAGGGAUUACCAGAGACUUAAGACCACUAUGGGCCAUUAUCAGACUGACAUGAAGCCUGAAAAUGGAUUUCGUUGGCUCCAGGAAGGUAUUGAUGGUUCCUGACUGGAAAAGAGGGGUGGACUUGUGUAUUUGUUCCUUGAGGGGCCCAAAGUUGAUUCGCGAGACUGGAAAUCAGAUACUAAAACUUGUACAAAUAUAGAUGUUAAGGUCAUUUUGAAUAACAAAUCCAGACUGGAUGGUGAAGAUUAAGCACAUGGCACAAAUCCUGAAAGAGAAAGGAUCAGGCUGUUAGGAAAGCUAAGAGCACACAGCAGAGAAGGUGAGUAUAAUAAUGUCUUGGAGGGGCUGGCCCCGUGGCCGAGUGGUUAAGUUCGCCCGCUCCGCUGCAGGCGGCCCAGUGUUUCGUUGGUUCGAAUCCUGGGCGCAGACAUGGCACUGCUCAUCAAACCAUGCUGAGGAGGCGUCCCACAUGCCACAACUAGAAGGACCCACAACGAAGAAUAUACAACUAUGUACUGGGGGUCUUUGGGGAGAAAAAGGAAAAAAUAAAAUCUUUAAAAAAAAAUAAUGUCUUGGA
rnacentral:lncRNA from 1 species